GACGAACGCUGGCGGCGUGCUUAACACAUGCAAGUCGAACGGUAAGGCCCUUCGGGGUACACGAGUGGCGAACGGGUGGAGUAACACGUGGGUGAUCUGCCCUGCACUUCGGGAUAAGCUUGGGAAACUGGGUCUAAUACCGGAUAGGACCACGGUCUGCAUGGAUUGUGGUGGAAAGCUUUUGCGGUGUGGGAUGGGCCCGCGGCCUAUCAGCUUGUUGGUGGGGUGAUGGCCUACCAAGGCGACGACGGGUAGCCGGCCUGAGAGGGUGUCCGGCCACACUGGGACUGAGAUACGGCCCAGACUCCUACGGGAGGCAGCAGUGGGGAAUAUUGCACAAUGGGCGCAAGCCUGAUGCAGCGACGCCGCGUGGGGGGAUGACGGCCUUCGGGUUGGUAAACCUCUUUCAGCAGGGACGAAGGGUGGACUGACGGUACCUGUAGAAGAAGCA
rnacentral:rRNA from 1 species